rnacentral:rRNA from 1 species
AUUGAACGCUGGCGGCAGGCCUAACACAUGCAAGUCGAACGGUAACAGGAAGCAGCUUGCUGCUUCGCUGACGAGUGGCGGACGGGUGAGUAAUGUCUGGGAAACUGCCUGAUGGAGGGGGAUAACUACUGGAAACGGUAGCUAAUACCGCAUAACGUCGCAAGACCAAAGAGGGGGACCUUAGGGCCUCUUGCCAUCGGGUGUGCCCAGAUGGGAUUAGCUAGUAGGUGGGGUAACGGCUCACCUAGGCGACGAUCCCUAGCUGGUCUGAGAGGAUGACCAGCCACCCUGGAACUGAGACACGGUCCAGACUCCUACGGGAGGCAGCAGUGGGGAAUAUUGCACAAUGGGCGCAAGCCUGAUGCAGCCAUGCCGCGUGUAUGAAGAAGGCCUUCGGGUUGUAAAGUACUGUCAGCGGGGAGGAAGGGAGUAAAGUUAAUACCUUUGCUCAUUGACGUUACCCGCAGAAGAAGCACCGGCUAACUCCGUG